rnacentral:rRNA from 1 species
UACGGAGGGGGCUAGCGUUGUUCGGAAUUACUGGGCGUAAAGCGCACGUAGGCGGCUUUGUAAGUUAGAGGUGAAAGCCUGGAGCUCAACUUCAGAAUAGCCUUUAAGACUGCAUCGCUUGAAUCCAGGAGAGGUGAGUGGAAUUCCGAGUGUAGAGGUGAAAUUCGUAGAUAUUCGGAAGAACACCAGUGGCGAAGGCGGCUCACUGGACUGGUAUUGACGCUGAGGUGCGAAAGCGUGGGGAGCAAACGGG